rfam:Crassostrea gigas strain 05x7-T-G4-1.051#20 contig5541, whole genome shotgun sequence.
GUUUUAAUAGCUCAGUGGUUAAAGUGUUUGCGCAGUACGCCAGAGACCCUGGGUUCAAGUCCCGGUUAAGACA